rnacentral:rRNA from 1 species
UACGUAGGGGGCAAGCGUUGUCCGGAUUUAUUGGGCGUAAAGAGCUCGUAGGCGGUUCGUCGCGUCGGCUGUGAAAUCCCGAGGCUCAACCUCGGGUCUGCAGUCGAUACGGGCGGACUGGAGUUCGGCAGGGGAGACUGGAAUUCCUGGUGUAGCGGUGAAAUGCGCAGAUAUCAGGAGGAACACCGGUGGCGAAGGCGGGUCUCUGGGCCGAUACUGACGCUGAGGAGCGAAAGCGUGGGGAGCGAACAGG